GCCAGCAGCCGCGGUAAUACGUAGGGGGCAAGCGUUGUCCGGAUUUAUUGGGCGUAAAGCGCUCGCAGGUGGUCCGAUGCGUCGUGCGUGAAAGACCCCGGCUCAACUGGGGAGGGUCGUGCGAUACGGUCGGACUGGAGGCCAGUAGGGGGAUGCGGAAUUCCGGGUGUAGUGGUGGAAUGCGUAGAGAUCCGGAGGAACACCAGCGGCGAAGGCGGCAUCCUGGACUGGUCCUGACACUCAGGAGCGAAAGCGUGGGGAGCGAUCCGGAUUAGAUACCCGGGUAGUCCACGCUGUAAACGAUGGGUACUAGGUGUCGGGGGUAUCGACCCCCUCGGUGCCGCAGCCAACGCUAUAAGUACUCCGCCUGGGGACUACGGCCGCAAGGCUAAAACUCAAAGGAAUUGACGGGGGCCCGCACAAG
rnacentral:rRNA from 1 species